rnacentral:rRNA from 1 species
UGCCAGCAGCCGCGGUAAUACGAAGGGACCUAGCGUAGUUCGGAAUUACUGGGCUUAAAGAGCUCGUAGGUGGUUAUAAAAGUUGAUGGUGAAAUCCCAAGGCUCAACCUUGGAACUGCCAUCAAAACUUUUUAGCUAGAGUAUGAUAGAGGAAAGCAGAAUUUCUAGUGUAGAGGUGAAAUUCGUAGAUAUUAGAAAGAAUACCAAUUGCGAAGGCAGCUUUCUGGAUCAUUACUGACACUGAGGAACGAAAGCAUGGGUAGCGAAGAGGAUUAGAUA